ensembl:snoRNA small nucleolar RNA Z17
GGUGCAAAUGAUGAUUACAGCGAUCAAAGUAUGAAAAAUAUGAUUCCAAAAUUUCACGUCUGAUGCACC